UACGUAGGGUGCAAGCGUUGUCCGGAAUUAUUGGGCGUAAAGAGCUCGUAGGCGGUCUGUUACGUCGGCUGUGAAAAUCCAGGGCUCAACCCUGGACCUGCAGUGGGUACGGGCAGACUAGAGUGCGGUAGGGGAGAUCGGAAUUCCUGGUGUAGCGGUGAAAUGCGCAGAUAUCAGGAAGAACACCAAUGGCGAAGGCAGCUCUCUGGGACGGUACUGACGCUGAGACGCGAAAGCGUGGGGAGCGAACAGG
rnacentral:rRNA from 1 species